UACGUAGGAUGCAAGCGUUGUUCGGAAUUACUGGGCGUAAAGAGUACGUAGGCGGUUAUAUAAGCUUGAUAUUAAAGACCAGGGCUUAACUUUGGGAAUGUAUCAUGAACUGUAUAACUAGAGGUUAAUAGGGGAUGCUGGAAUUACCAGUGUAGCGGUGAAAUGCGUAGAUAUUGGUAAGAACACCUGUGGCGAAAGCGAGCAUCUGGGUUAAUACUGACGCUGAGGUACGAAAGCGUGGGGAGCAAACAGG
rnacentral:rRNA from 1 species